GAUGAACGCUGGCGGCGUGCCUAAUACAUGCAAGUCGAGCGAACGGACGAGGAGCUUGCUCCUUUGACGUUAGCGGCGGACGGGUGAGUAACACGUGGAUAACCUACCUAUAAGACUGGGAUAACUUCGGGAAACCGGAGCUAAUACCGGAUAAUAUAUUGAACCGCAUGGUUCAAUAGUGAAAGACGGUUUUGCUGUCACUUAUAGAUGGAUCCGCGCCGCAUUAGCUAGUUGGUAAGGUAACGGCUUACCAAGGCAACGAUGCGUAGCCGACCUGAGAGGGUGAUCGGCCACGCUGGAACUGAGACGCGGUCCAGACUCCUACGGGAGGCAGCAGUAGGGAAUCUUCCGGAGUGGGCGAAAGCCUGACGGAGCAACGCCGCGUGAGUGAUGACGGUCUUCGGAUCGUAAAACUCUGUUAUUAGGGAAGAACAAAUGUGUAAGUAACUAUGCACGUCUUGACGGUACCUAAUCAGAAAGCCACGGCUAACUACGU
rnacentral:rRNA from 1 species